rnacentral:rRNA from 1 species
GACGAACGCUGGCGGCGUGCCUAAUACAUGCAAGUAGAACGCUGAAGGGGGAGCUUACUUCUCUGGAUGAGUUGCGAACGGGUGAGUAACGCGUAGGUAACCUGCCUGGUAGCGGGGGAUAACUAUUGGAAACGAUAGCUAAUACCGCAUAAGAGUAGAUGUUGCAUGACAUUUACUUAAAAGGUGCAAUUGCACCACUACCAGAUGGACCUGCGUUGUAUUAGCUAGUUGGUGGGUAACGGCUUACCAAGGCGACGAUACAUAGCCGACCUGAGAGGGUGAUCGGCCACACUGGGACUGAGACACGGCCCAGACUCCUACGGGAGGCAGCAGUAGGGAAUCUUCGGCAAUGGACGGAAGUCUGACCGAGCAACGCCGCGUGAGUGAAGAAGGUUUUCGGAUCGUAAAGCUCUGUUGUAAGAGAAGAACGAGUGUGAGAGUGGAAAGCUCACACUGUGACGGUAUCUUACCAGAAAGGGACGGCUAACUACGUGCCAGCAGCCGCGGUAA